UCCGAGCCGGGGCCCCUAGGGGCCGCGGUGCGGGCUCUGACGAAACCCGCCGGCGAAAAGAAAUUGAAAACGAGUCCGGCACUCGUCGAGGGAGGAUGGCGACGGGUCCUCGACGGAGUCAAAUCCGAAGCGGACCGGCCCGCACUCCCGGGGUGCCUCGUUCGCCGGUGCCCCUUCGCGGGGGCCCGACGAGAGGUGCGCCCAGAGCACACACGCUGGGACCCGAAAGAUGGUGAACUAUGCCUGGCCAGGACGAAGUCAGGGGAAACCCUGAUGGAGGUCCGAAACGAUUCUGACGUGCAAAUCGAUCGUCUGAGCUGGGUAUAGGGGCGAAAGACUAAUCGAACUAUCUAGUAGCUGGUUCCCUCCGAAGUUUCCCUCAGGAUAGCUGGCGCUCGGAGGUGUCCAAACGAGGAACGCGCAUUGAGUCUCUUCCGGUAAAGCGAAUGAUUAGAGGCCUUGGGGCCGAAACGACCUCAACCUAUUCUCAAACUUUAAAUGGGUGAGAACCCCGGCUUGCUCGAGAUGUU
rnacentral:rRNA from 1 species